GACGAACGCUGGCGGCGUGCCUAAUACAUGCAAGUAGAACGCUGAAGAGAGGAGCUUGCUCUUCUUGGAUGAGUUGCGAACGGGUGAGUAACGCGUAGGUAACCUGCCUGGUAGCGGGGGAUAACUAUUGGAAACGAUAGCUAAUACCGCAUAAGAGUAGAUGUUGCAUGACAUUUGCUUAAAAGGUGCAAUUGCAUCACUACCAGAUGGACCUGCGUUGUAUUAGCUAGUUGGUGAGGUAACGGCCCACCAAGGCGACGAUACAUAGCCGACCUGAGAGGGUGAUCGGCCACACUGGGACUGAGACACGGCCCAGACUCCUACGGGAGGCAGCAGUAGGGAAUCUUCGGCAAUGGACGGAAGUCUGACCGAGCAACGCCGCGUGAGUGAAGAAGGUUUUCGGAUCGUAAAGCUCUGUUGUAAGAGAAGAACGAGUGUGAGAGUGGAAAGUUCACACUGUGACGGUAUCUUACCAGAAAGGGACGGCUAACUACGUGCCAGCAGCCGCGGUAAUACGUAGGUCCCGAGCGUUGUCCGGAUUUAUUGGGCGUAAAGCGAGCGCAGGCGGUUAGAUAAGUCUGAAGUUAAAGGCUGUGGCUUAACCAUAGUACGCUUUGGAAACUGUUUAACUUGAGUGCAAGAGGGGAGAGUGGAAUUCCAUGUGUAGCGGUGAAAUGCGUAGAUAUAUGGAGGAACACCGGUGGCGAAAGCGGCUCUCUGGCUUGUAACUGACGCUGAGGCUCGAAAGCGUGGGGAGCAAACAGG
rnacentral:rRNA from 1 species